UGCCACAACACCCAGCUAAUUUUUUUUUAUUUUUAGUUGGCCAGGCUGGUCUCGAACUCCUGACCUCAGAUGAUCCACCCCCCUUGGCUUCCCAAAGUGCUGGGAUUACAGGCGUGAGCCACUGCACCCAGCUAAGGGUUUUUAAUGAAAUAAAUAAUAGCUUUUUAGGAAGUAUUCCAACUAUAUAAGAAAAUUUAAAAACGUCAAUAUUUGCUUAUCCAGGCAUUUUUUAAACUCUAAACCUGGGCACAGUGGUUCAUACUUGUAAUCUCAGCACUUUGGGAGGCUGAGGCAGGACUGCUUAAGGCCGGAAGUUCAAGAAUAGCCUGGGCAAUAUAGAGACACCCCGUCUCUACAAAAAAUGAUGAUAAUAAUAAUAGGCUGGGCACUGUGGCUCACACCUGUAAUCCUAGCACUUUGGGAGGCCAAGGUGGGUGACUUACUUGAGCCCAGAAGUUUGAGACCAGCCUGGGUAACAUGGUG
rnacentral:lncRNA from 10 species